UACGUAGGCAGCGAGCGUUGUUCGGAGUUACUGGGCGUAAAGAGUGCGUAGGCGGUUUUCUAAGUUUGGUGUGAAAUCUCCCGGCUCAACUGGGAGGGUGCGCCGAAGACUGGGAAGGCUUGAGUAUGGGAGAGGUAAGCGGAAUUCCUGGUGUAGGCGGUGAAAUGCGUAGAUAUACAGGAGGAACACCUGCGGUGUAGACGGCUUACUGGACCAUAACUGACGCUGAGGCACGAAAGCGUGGGUAGCAAACAGG
rnacentral:rRNA from 1 species